GAGACUGAAUCCUGGUGUAGCGGUGGAAUGCGCAGUAUCAGGAGGAACACCAAUAGGAAGGCAGGUCUCUGGGCAAUACCGACAUUGAGGAGCGAAAGCCUGGGGAGGAACAGGAUUAGAUACCCUGGUAGUCAGACCGUAAGGUGGGCACUAGUUGUGGAACC
rnacentral:rRNA from 1 species